CUGGGCCUAGGGAGGCAGCAGUGGGGAAUAUUGGACAAUGGGGGGAACCCUGAUCCAGCGACGCCGCGUGAGUGAAGAAGUAUUUCGGUGUGUAAAGCUCUAUCAGCAGGGAAGAAAGAAAUGACGGUACCUGACUAAGAAGCCCCGGCUAACUACGUGCCAGCAGCCGCGGUAAUACGUAGGGGGCAAGCGUUAUCCGGAUUUACUGGGUGUAAAGGGAGCGUAGACGGCAGUGCAAGUCUGAAGUGAAAGGCGGGGGCCCAACCCCCGGACUGCUUUGGAAACUGUGCUGCUGGAGUGCAGGA
rnacentral:rRNA from 1 species